CAAAUCCGGAUGCGAUGCAGCAAAGCUGCCUCAGUGGUGAGUUCGAUUCCAUC
rnacentral:tRNA from 8 species